AACGAAUCGUACGGAGCGAACGAGCGAGGCCUCAGGGUGCCCUCGAGCCAGAACGAUUCGCACCCACGACUCGCACAGCAGAUCCGUUCGACGCCGCCCUCGCAGAUCAAGUCGCGCCGUCGAUCCAUCCCUUCGCCGCCGCCGAUCCAUGCGCGUGCGAGGACGAUCCAGGAGACGCCGCCGAUCCCCUUCAGGAUCCGACGCCGAUCCCCUAAGCCGGCGCUGAUCCCCGUUGAGGAGCCACCAACAAGAUCACUGAGGGUGAUUGGGGAGUGCUCAUACGCGUGAUGGAGAGAAGACAACACGCUUUGCUCCUCCUCCAAGCCUGCAAGUCUGCUUCUUUUCACCACAAGUUUUGUAGAUCAAUUCGCAUCAUAUUGUGGUCAGAGUGCCAUGUCCGCCCCGUAAUGGGUGGUCGCAGCAGCUAUUGGUUCUCCUGUGCCAUGUCCGCCCAUGAUACUGCAGUGGAUCCACCGUCUGAUGAUGUUGCCGCCAGAUCGACUCCCACCCCGAGGGCUCGACCUUCUUGGUCCACGGUUGUGGUCGGAGCGGAACUCAACCCCCCGAAGAUGCGCGCAAGGUUGAUACAACUAGGGCUAUCAAGCUUCAUGCAUGAAUUUAUUUGUGUGCUUCGAUGGAAGCAUAUUACAUAAAGAUACAAGCCAGCUACUAGCUAAAGGAAUUUUGUUUGUCUUUGAUACGGUUGACCUCUUAGAGGAAGUGUCCUUUAGGAUAAUUUGACUACGUUUCCAUGAAUAUCCGGUAGAAGUAGUGCUUUCACAACACUCGGCGGGAGCUAAAGCUGUAGUUUUUCAUGCGCAUGUGCUAAUGCCUUGAAGAGAAAAUUGUUGCUUGUGUUAGCAUCAGGCAAUACUGGAGGUGGAUUGAUGCAACAACUAAUCACCAAGGAGAACGCAAAGAGGUAUCUUAAUUACAGGUUGAAAAAAUUGAGCAGGUUAACAAUCUUAAUUACCAUAUUCGCAAGUAGAAUGCCCUACUUCUUGAAAUCACCGAGUCAAAGCUAAAGUAGUGCAAACAAAUGAAGGAACGUGCUAUAGAUAUCGGUGUAUCAUCUAAUUGCUACUUUUCUUUUCUGCAUAGAAUAGUCACUAUGUCUUUUUCAAGCAUGCAUAUAGAUUUAUUUAACAUUCUUGAAGUUCUUUUUAAAAUGAUACAUGGUCUGCAUAAACAUGGGGUCACUUCAUCUAUUUUUUUAAUCAUAACGAUUAACCUUGUGGUUUAGUUCCAAGUUACAAUUUUGGAUCUCGUGAAGGUCAGACCCCGCCACCAAAAUAAUCUAGCUUGGUAGAGAAGUUCAGAUUAUUAACCUCGUGGUUUAGUUACAUAGGCAAUGGAGAUCCGGCCAUCAUUGGUAUUUAAGUUGCCACCUGACGAAUCUUUCGGAAUUUGUAUAAUUACCUUGCCUUCACGGGGCAUUACAUGGCAUUAGAUGAUUGUAACUAUGUACGCCGCCGCCGCCGCCGCGGAACCCUGGGGCAGGUCAGGGCGUGACUAUGUUACGGGCAGCGAGGAGCUGGUUCCUGGAUCGGCAAACUACCGGAGUAAGCUGUCUGAGGUUCACUUGAGGUCAGAAAAAAAGCUGCUUAUACAUAUAGAAAAAAGGAUGCAGGUGUGAGAGGCUGAAGCUCGGGGAUGACGACAUCAUGCACAAGAGGGCAUACAGGAGGUUCUCUGAACAGCCUUCCAGAUGAAUUAUGCCGAUCCAAACGAGGUUGUGGCAGUUAUACUGGGCAGUGGCACAGGAACUCAAAUUUUCCCUCUUACAAGCACAAGGGGUGCACCUGCUGUAAGAUAAUUUAUUCAGAUUUUCCCUCUUACAAGCACAAGGGGUGCACCUGCUGUUCCUGCUGAAAAGGCUUAUUAAUAUUCCAACGAGCAACUACUUAAACAGAGGCACAAACAAGAGAUUCGCCAUAACUUGGUUUAAAUCAACUUUCGUAAUGGUCGCAUUCUUCGCACAUGCAUUGGCGAGGGAAUCAAGAUCACUUAUGGAUUUGCUAACGUAAUUCUCCUCAGCUUGCAAAGACAUCAACCAAGACGUGCUUAUGAAGUCACAAGCUCAUGUCACGACACAUCUCACUCCGAGUAGUCCUUGAAUUUAAUACAUGUGGUCUACCAAGAAAAAGAGCUUAAUGGAUGUGGUGUAACAAGGAGAAGUCAUGUCAACAGAAGCAACCCCACCACUUCUCUCUUGUGGUAGGUUUAAGACACUAGACAACAGUUGAUAUUGCUUUGUUAAACUAAGAUGUGCUAUUAUCAUUUUUUGCUUCCUUUCUAAUCAUUGUGCCUCGGUUUAUCAUUUUAUUUUAUGUAGAUUCAGUGGGUCUUGGCUCUAGCUAAUUGAUAUUUGACACAUGUCUCAUCGCAUGCUAAUUUUCCUUCCAAAUUCCUCACUGAUGGCAUACCAUGCACCACAAUCCAUAUCUUGAUAAAUAGAUCUGUUAGGUACAUAGUUAUGGUGUCUGCUGUCUUUUGGUUAUGUUUCAAAUUUGAAUUUGUCAAGUUGAGUUGUUUUCUACAUGAGAUUGCAAGGUCGGGUGGCAUAUUCAAGUUUGUAGAGCAUGAAUAUUGUGAUCUGAUGGUAUCAUGAACUUAAUUUAGUCAUGUUGCCCAAGAAAUUUGUAUAUUAUUACUAUAAGAAAAAAGUCCAUUUUACUACCCUGAAUAAAGUUGGUUGUUCACUUUACCCCCUGACCUUUUUUUUGGUUCCUUUACCCCCUAAACAAUCCCAUGCCGGACAAAAAAACCCUGAGUGGUUUCCCCAGACCGGAAGCUGAUGUGGGCACGGUCAAAGGUGGUAUUUGACCUGGAGGUGGGUCCCCUCGUCAGGUGGCCAUGUGCUGGAGCUGGAUGUGGCUGGGCGCGAUGCGGGACGUCGGCGGCGGGACUCGCCGGAUCCUGCCGGAUCCAGGCGAGGGGCGGCGCAGGGGCACGGAUCCGGACGCGGGGAUGUAGUAGGACACCGCAAGGACGACUGGCGUCGUGUGGCUCCGAGGCGGUCGGCCCUGGCGUUCGAGCGUCGGCGCGAAGGGCUCCAUGGCACUGUUAACGGCGACGGCGACUGCGGUCGGCGGGCAGGGGAGGCCGGCGGACGACGGGAAUGGAUGGAUCCGGACAGGGGGGUUCGGACCCGGGUAGUGGCGUCGCUCGGAGAUCGCCGAACGGAGCAAAUCGACGGCGGCGGCGCCAUGACCGACGGAAGAAGCUCCUGCGCGAGAGAGGAAUUAGAGAGAGACAGGAGAGUCAGGGAGGCGCAGGGCUGGCCUAGGCUCGGGGGGUGACGCUCCGGCGGCCGGCCGGCGUCGGGGCCGAGUGGGGGCAGCGGCGAGGCCAACGAAGCUGCAGCUCUAUCUCAGCCGUGCCUGACAAGGGGGCCCCACCUAGGUCAAAACCACCAUUGACUUGAGCCACGUCAGCAGUAGGGGGAGACAAACCAGCCAGGGGGUAUUUCGUCCGGUAUGAUUUUGUUUGGGGGCUAAAAGGAGCAGAAAAAUAGAUCAGGGGUUAAAGUGAACCACCAACUUUAUUCAGGGUAGUAAAAUGGAAUUUUUUUUCUUACCAUAAUCAUAUAUAUCUCUAACAGAAAGUUUGUUGCUCUGAAAAAUGCUAAUGGUACCUUCUGUUGUUGAUACAUUCUAAAGUCUUGCUGAACAGGGGCUUCCUUUAAUGUUCUGUUACCUCCUUUCUAUAGUUACAGUAUCCAGAUUUUACGAAACAAACAAAUGAAACAUGGUAAUUGCGUCGAUUGAAAAUUUGGUCCUUCAGAUUCAGGUACCCAUAUUUAGUUGGACAACUAUUAAUUCACUCUAUACUGCUUAUCAGCAGUAUAACGCCCUGGUCUUAAGUCUUUAUUUGCUGCAAAUUAGCACUUUAAUGUCGUGUUUAUAUGUUCCAAAAUUGUAGGCGGAAUACUACUUCAGUGAUGAGGAUCUUCUGAUGGAUGUUUAUAUGCUAUAGAUUAUCUCUUUUUUGGGCAUCUUCCUUUCUUUAGUAACUCAAUUUUCCAAUGGGCAACUCAAUUUCCUACGGCUUGAAUGCGGAGGGGUCGCGCCAUGUCACUUUGGUGCGCUCUGGAGACGCUAAGUCAAAGGGUGGCGGCUCGGCUGCAGAGGGUUCGUUCGGCAGUAAUGUGGCGUGAUUGGCCCCAUGUGCGGCUGUGGUGGAGGGUGACACCGUGGCUACAACAGAGGACAACUUUGCUGCACAUGGGUUGGGCCAGGAUGCUCGGCAGGGUUACUGGCCUCUGCAUCGGCUGUGUGCUCGUCCUCCGGCGUGGCUGCACAGUCAGGCCAGGGCAUGGCUGGGUCCUCGACAUCGCCUACGUGAGCUUGUCCAGAAGGAAAGAUGGCCCUGCUCAUCAAGCUCAAGCAGCGGCGAGCAAGGCCGGCGACAACGGAAAUGUUGUGUCUGGCGCCCGUGCACCUCUCCCUGAUCUCAAUGCAGCUUGGUGUUUGUACAAAUGCUCUUCAGAGUUGGAGCACUUGGAAGGCGGGGGCAUUAAAGAGCAGAUCAAGUGGGCUGAGGCCCUUGUGGCUGCGCUGGAAGUUGAGAACCACAAGGAGAUGGGUCUUAAAGGAGAAACUACAACAUUUUGCUAUCAAUUAUGUUUUACCGAUUUGACGAAAUGUUAAAGUGUGGAUUUUGAAGUCCGUGAUAUGUAGUUUGUGUUUGAGUCAAGUACUAUUAUGUGGAUGGAUCUUCUUAUGCCGACCAUCUUGAAAUGGAGAAUGCAGGCCAUGUCUCGGUUUACUUUGGUCAUCACCUACUUCCCGAAGAUGUUUGGUGAUGGAAGCCAUCGAGUUUUGUACUAAUCUUAUGUGUGUAGAUAUCAUUGUUGUUACUUAGAGGUUCCAUUAUUUAAUCUGUUGUUUUAUUCAUUC